GGGAGGCAGCAGUGGGGAAACCCUGAUCCAGCCAUGCCGCGUGAGUGAUGAAGGCCUUAGGGUUGUAAAGCUCUUUCACCGGUGAAGAUAAUGACGGUAGCCGGAGAAGAAGCCCCGGCUAACUCCGUGCCAGCAGCCGCGGUAAUACGGAGGGGGCUAGCGUUGUUCGGAAUUACUGGGCGUAAAGCGCGCGUAUGCGGACUAGUCAGUUGGGGGUGAAAGCCCGAGGCUUAACCUCGGAACUGCCUUCAAAACUGCCAGUCUUGAGUCCGGGAGAGGUGAGUGGAAUUCCUAGUGUAGAGGUGAAAUUCGUAGAUAUUAGGAAGAACACCAGUGGCGAAGGCGGCUCACUGGCCCGGUACUGACGCUGAGGCGCGAAAGCGUGGGGAGCAAACAGGAUUAGAUACCCUGGUAGU
rnacentral:rRNA from 2 species